CAUCUUCAAAAUAUUAAAUCAAUCUAAAAAUGUCGCAAUAUGAUUUGGAUGAUACGGAAAGUCAUAACUCAAGUCAUAUAUUUCAAAACUCUGAAAAUCAUAUUGAUAAACUUAUCGAAAUUGACAACUUAAAUGCAAUCGAACUAUUGACACCAAGUGAUAUACUUGAAAGCAUACAAAUGUAUGAUUCAACAGUUAUUGAGAGGAUACGUAAAGACAAAUUUUGCUGAAGUAUAUAACAAUAACAUGAAUAAAAUUAUUGGAUGUGGUGCAAUAACUGAUGGCACAUAUAAACUGGAAAUUCACGUAAUAAAUUUUACUAACAAUGAUUAUAUUUCACUUGAUAUCAGAAAAGGUGAUCAUGUAGAAAUUAUUGGUAUCAUGCAAACUACAGUUAUUCCAUCCUAUUUAGUUGUCAAUAAUAUAGAAAAUAUAAAAAAAAUUGCAGGGCACAUGCCUUUAUUAACUUUGAUGAGUGGAACCCAAAAUUUGAAAAGGAAAAUAGAUGAAGUACAGAAUCAGAAUAAGAGAAAUCUAACUUCCACACAUAUGUCACAGUCAUAGAAAUCCAACUUCCACAUAUAUGACAACUUCCACAUAUGUGACAAUAUUAUAGUUAUUGUUAUUUUACUUUGUUUUUUAAUUUUUUCUUUAUAAUAA